UACGUAGGGUCCGAGCGUUGUCCGGAAUUACUGGGCGUAAAGAGCUCGUAGGUGGUUUGUCGCGUUGUUCGUGAAAACUCACAGCUCAACUGUGGGCGUGCGGGCGAUACGGGCAGACUAGAGUUCGGUAGGGGGAGACUGGAAUUCCUGGUGUAGCGGUGAAAUGCGCAGAUAUCAGGAGGAACACCGGUGGCGAAGGCGGGUCUCUGGGCCGAAACUGACGCUGAGGAGCGAAAGCGUGGGGAGCAAACAGG
rnacentral:rRNA from 1 species